rnacentral:rRNA from 1 species
GACGAACGCUGGCGGCGUGCCUAAUACAUGCAAGUCGAGCGCAGCUGCGGCUUGGUGAGUAACGCGUGGGUAACCUGCCCUUAAGUCUGGGCUAUCACUUGGCAACAGAUGCUAAUACCGGCUACUAAAGGUUGGACCUUCGAUGCGUUAGCUAGUUGGUAAGGUAACGGCUUACCAAGGCGAUGAUGCAUGGCCGAGUUGAGGGGCUGAUCGGCCACAUUGGGACUGCGAAACGGCCAGAACUCCAACGGGAGGAAGCGGUGGGGAAUCUUCCACAAUGGAGGAAGGUCGGAUAGGCCAAGGCGGCGUGGGUGAAGAAGGUUUUCGGAUCGUAAAGCUCUGUUGUUGGUGAGGCGGUAAUCAACCAGAAAGUCACGGCUAACUACGUGCCAGCCGCCGCGGUAAUAC